AAAUCAACAAGUUCUAAGCAUAAAAAAAAACGGUACAACAUCAUAAAUAACCGAUUUGUGAACACGCACAUAAAAUAGUGACUUUCACGGAGUCGAAACGAGAUUUCGCAAAUAAAUUAGAAAAGAUACGAAACCUACACCUGAUUUGUGAUCAAGGGCGUCCAGAACCCGACUCGAAGACUAAGAAAUAAAGCUCUUCGAAAACCACAACACCACGCUUUUCAAAAAAGAAAAUAAGAAGAAACAAAAGAAAAAGAAAGAGGAGAACGUCCAAAGAAAAUAAAAAGAAAAUCAAAAUCAAAAUAAUCAUAAUCAUUAUAAUAAUAAACACUCGGUAAAGAGUAAAAUAAUUACCUAAACCUUCAAAACAAAACAAAAAUGGUCCCUCAAAAC
rnacentral:lncRNA from 1 species